AGAGAGAUGGCUGAGCGGUUUAAAGCAGGUGCCUUGAAAGCAUCAGGUGAGAAAUCAUCCGUGGGUUCAAAUCCUACUCUCUCUGCCA
rnacentral:tRNA from 1 species